rnacentral:sRNA from 1 species
CCUCUUCGACUUGCUGAGGGCAGAUGUAGUGCACAUGCGUGUCGAUGGCGCCGGCGGUGACGAUGAGCUUCUCGCCGGCGAUGACUUCGGUGGAGGAGCCGAUAAUGAGGGUAGGAUCGACGCCGUCCAUGAUGUCUGGGUUUCCCGCCUUGCCUAUGCCGUGGAUGAGGCCGUCUUUGACGCCGAUAUCCGCCUGGGAAGGAGAAAUUUAUCUGGUGCUGGACAAUGACUAGGAAGUCCACAACUCACCUUGUAUAUCCCAGACCAGUCAAUGAUCAAGGCGUUGGUGAUGACAAGGUCCAGCGAAUCCUUCGCUGCUCGGUUCGAGGCUUGACCCAUCCCCUCGCGG